UUACAGGAAUUGUGUGACGAGACAUCAGUGGCUGUGACUGAAUGCAGUGUGAAUCCUUCCUCAUCAGUGAAACAGAAAGAAAAAGCCAAAUGAAUCAGGAUGAAACUGAGAACUCCAGAGGGACCAAAUUGAGGAGAAUUGCGAAAAGGCCAUGGAGCCCAAAUGAAGUGAAUGCUGUCAUGAAACAUUUC